GGGCACUGGGNAUCCUACNUNGAUCGAGGUCACCUGAGAAAAAAGGUUGGAGACGCCGGCUGGCGCCCGGCCGGUCCUUAUCGAGCGGGUGACAAAGCCCCAUACGCUCGAGGACCGGACGCGGUGCCGCCGCUGCCUUUCGGGCCCGUCCCCCGGAGGGGACGACGACCCAACACACAAGCCGGGCUUGAAGGGCAGCAAUGACGCUCGGACAGGCAUGCCCCCCGGAAUGCCAGGGGGCGCAAUGUGCGUUCAAAGACUCGAUGAUUCACUGAAUUCUGCAAUUCACAUUACUUAUCGCAGUUCGCUGCGUUCUUCAUCGAUGCCGGAACCAAGAGAUCCAUUGUUGAAAGUUUUGACUGAUUUAUAUUUCAGGCUCAGACGCAACUCUACAAUCAAGAAGUUCAUGUGGUCCCCGGCGACUCGCCCCCCGGAAGGGGCUCCUCGCCGAAGCAACAGUGGUAAGGUAUUCACGGGUGGGAGGUUGGGCGCCCGGAGGCAGCCCUCACUCGGUAAUGAUCCUUCCGCAGGUUCACCUACAGAAUNUNUUUUUUNNUUNUUUUUUUCNCUUUUUUUGUNUNUUCUUUGCUGGUGUGGAAAUUAGUUCGCUUGGGGGUCGAUUCCAUUGCCCUCGUCUCUUUCUUGUGUGUUCAGCUCACUCUUCUCAGUUUUUAACACGCAUUUACUUCUUGAGAGCGUAGUCUAGGUGGAUCUCUCAUAAUACAUUUUAAUUGCAUAUAUUUAAGUUAUAUUUAAAAAAUUAUGCAACUCUGUUCGUGUUGUUGUGUGACUCAUUGNUAUAUUGUUAUAAUUUUCACUAUCCAUUGAUUCCUCGAAAUAUCCUUAGGUAACACGUAAUAUAUCCCCUUGUCGUAAACCUUAAUACUGAUUUAUAGAUAUUGCUGUGCUUGCUUUUAUACUAUUAUUUUCCCCUUUCCUCUUAUGCUUGCACGCUGGUUGCCGAAGUAAAGGUAGUUGUAUUUUUCUUGUUUAUGUAGAG
rnacentral:misc_RNA from 1 species